rnacentral:rRNA from 1 species
UACAGAGGUCUCAAGCGUUGUUCGGAUUCAUUGGGCGUAAAGGGUGCGUAGGUGGCGUGGUAAGUCGGGUGUGAAAUUUCAGAGCUUAACUCCGAAACUGCAUUCGAUACUGCCGUGCUUGAGGACUGGAGAGGAGACUGGAAUUUACGGUGUAGCGGUGAAAUGCGUAGAUAUCGUAAGGAAGACCAGUGGCGAAGGCGGGUCUCUGGACAGUUCCUGACGCUGAGGCACGAAGGUCAGGGGAGCAAACGGG